rnacentral:rRNA from 1 species
UCGUGAGAUGUUGGGUUAAGUCCCGCAACGAGCGCAACCUUGUGUUUAGUUGCAAACAGGUCAAGCUGUGCACUCUAGACAGACUGCCGUGGACAACACGGAGGAAGGUGGGGAUGACGUCAAAUCAUCAUGCCCCUUAUGAUCUGGGCUACACACGUGCUACAAUGGCCGGUACAACGGGCAGCGAAGGAGCGAUCCGGAGCGAAUCCUAAAAAGCCGGUCCCAGUUCGGAUUGCAGGCUGAAACUCGCCUACAUGAAGUUGGAGUUGCUAGUAAUCGCGAAUCAGAAUGUCGCGGUGAAUGCGUUCCCGGGUCUU